CAAACACCGAGAACACCUAAGCUAUUAGCACCCUUCAAUAAUAUCGGAUCUUUCAGAAAAAGGGGGAUAGCACAUAAGUCCUAGAAGGAUCGCAAAGUUGCACCAAAUCAUGUAUUCAACACCAGAAUGGCACCAAGGUAGAAUCUCUGUGCUCACCUGAAAACAAGGCAAAUUUUUUAUGUCGUCUUCAGUGACAUAAAGCCAUCUGCAAAGAAAGCCAAAUUCUUAACAAAGAAUAGUUAUCUCUAAGCAAUUUGUAAAGCUAAGGCUUAACAGACUCUUCAUGUGCACCUAUGUACAGAUCUAAGCAGGAGAUUCUCGACUUGCAUAACUACUCUUAAAGAAAGGCACAGUUGCUACUCUAAUUCAUCCACCAUGCAUGACGCAGAAGGAGAUGUCUCACUGUUUGUUGUGAUCAUCUUCACUUAAGCUCCUCAACCGCUCCCUCAUUUCACUGCAAACCACAACAUAUAAGCUGGCACCCGUCAGUAUGUGCUCCACAACAAGGUUCGAAAAUUUCAGUUACAAAUGAGGGACAUAACCUAGAAAACUUCACGAAGGAUAAUAAAAUUCACCUAAUACUCUCAUCAAGCUUUUUCUCUUCAUUGCGCAGAUCCUCCACCUCAACCUGAAUCAAGACCCAAAACCAAUCUAAGUCAUUGAACCAAAUGAAUCUUCCCGCAUUGGACAAGAUUGACUUUUGGCAUAUUACACUGAAACCAGAGCGAUGAAAUAGAUGCUGGUGUGCUGUCCUCAGCAUUUUCGACAACAUCCUCAAACCGUUAUCUCACAUGAGGAAUAA
rnacentral:lncRNA from 1 species